AGGAGCCGGAUGUUUGGAAACUUACUUGUCCGGUUCUGUGGGAGGCUAAUUUCGAAUAAAAAAGUUAAUUUGAUAAUUUACUUUUUAAACCGAUUUAAUCUAUCCCGAU
rnacentral:ncRNA from 1 species